rnacentral:rRNA from 1 species
GCCGCGUGAAGGAAGAAGGUUUUCGGAUCGUAAACUUCUAUCAGCAGGGAAGAAAUUGACGGUACCUGACUAAGAAGCCCCGGCUAACUACGUGCCAGCAGCCGCGGUAAUACGUAGGGGGCAAGCGUUAUCCGGAAUUACUGGGUGUAAAGGGAGCGUAGGCGGCAAUACAAGUCAGAUGUGAAAGCCCGAAGCUUAACUUCGGGACUGCAUUUGAAACUGUAUAGCUAGAGUACAGGAGAGGAAAGUGGAAUUCCUAGUGUAGCGGUGAAAUGCGUAGAUAUUAGGAGGAACACCAGUGGCGAAGGCGGCUUUCUGGACUG